AUUGAACGCUGGCGGCAUGCCUUACACAUGCAAGUCGAACGGCAGCACGGGAGCAAUCCUGGUGGCGAGUGGCGAACGGGUGAGUAAAGUAUCGGAACGUGCCCAGUCGUGGGGGAUAACGUAGCGAAAGUUACGCUAAUACCGCAUACGAUCUAUGGAUGAAAGCGGGGGAUCGCAAGACCUCGCGCGAUUGGAGCGGCCGAUAUCUGAUUAGGUAGUUGGUGGGGUAAAGGCCCACCAAGCCGACGAUCUGUAGCUGGUCUGAGAGGACGACCAGCCACACUGGGACUGAGACACGGCCCAGACUCCUACGGGAGGCAGCAGUGGGGAAUUUUGGACAAUGGGCGAAAGCCUGAUCCAGCCAUGCCGCGUGCAGGAUGAAGGCCUUCGGGUUGUAAACUGCUUUUGUACGGAACGAAAAGGACUGCCCUAAUACGGUGGUCCCAUGACGGUACCGUAAGAAUAAGCACCGGCUAACUACGUGCCAGCAGCCGCGGUAA
rnacentral:rRNA from 1 species